UAGCCAAUGAAAUUGAUCCUUCAGUACAAAAGCUGGAAUUAACCCAUAAGACGAGAAGACCCUGUGGAGCUUCAAAACCAAAAUCACUAAACAUGCCUCCUGGUUUUUUAGUUGGGGCGACUUUGGAGCAAAAAAAAUCCUCCAAAACAUAAAGUCAUUUAUUAAGAAAAACACACCAAAAAUAAUAUUAUAGACCCAGCAGUACUAGUUUACUGUCUGAUCAAUGAACCAAGUUACCCCAGGGAUAACAGCGCCAUCCUCUUCUAGAGUCCUUAUCGACAAGAGGGUUUACGACCUCGAUGUUGG
rnacentral:rRNA from 1 species